ACACAUGUCCACAUAUGUAAGGUGUGGUUCCACAGUAAACCAGUGAUCUGCACAUUUACUCCUCACGAUGAAGCUGAUCCUGUCUCUCACUCUCAUCUGGAUGCUGUCUGGCACAGCUGCCCCAACAACAACUACAACAGCUGACCCAACAACUGCAACAGCUGUCCCAACAACAACUACAACCGUUGCCCCAACAACUACAACAGCUGUUUCAACAACAACUACAACUGCUGCCACUGCAUCCCAAUCAGCCACGACUACAAAACCUUCCAGUGGAGCCUCCUGUAUCCAGCUGGAUAUGAUCCAUCUGCUGCUUGGACUCCUUAUGUUUACCCUCUGUUAAAAUACAGAAACAGCUGAGACUACCCACCUAUGAAGCCGCCAGAACCACCCGUUGAAGCCUGGACUUAAGUUUACUGCUCACUGCAAUCUUUAGUUGGCUUUUACAAGGAGAAGGGGAAAUCCAAAUGUAG